rnacentral:rRNA from 1 species
GACGAACGCUGGCGGCGUGCUUAACACAUGCAAGUCGAACGGAAAGGCCCUGCUUUUGUGGGGUUCUCGAGUGGCGAACGGGUGAGUAACACGUGUGUAUCCUGCCCUUGACUUUGGGAUAACUUCAGGAAACUGGGGCUAAUACCGGAUAGGAGCUCCUGCUGCAUGGUGUGGGUUGGAAAGUUUCGGCGGUGGUGGCUGUACUCGCGGCUUAUCCGCUUGUUUGUGGGGUAGUGGCUUACCAAGGCUUUGACGGGUAGCCGGCCUGAGAGGGUGACCGGGCACAUUGGGACUGAGGGACGGCCCAGACUCCAACGGGAGGCAGCAGUGGGGAAUAUGGCACAAUGGGCGGAAGCCUGAUGCAGCAACGCCGCGUGCGGGAUGACGGCUUUCGGGUUGUAAACCGCUUUGGCCUGUGACGAAGCGUGAGUGACGGUAAUGGGUAAAGAAGCACCGGCUAACUACGUG